ACGGGGGGGGCAAGCGUUGUUCGGAAUUACUGGGCGUAAAGGGCUCGUAGGCGGCCAACUAAGUCAUACGUGAAAUCCCUCGGCUUAACCGGGGAACUGCGUCUGAUACUGGAUGGCUUGAGUUCGGGAGAGGGAUGCGGAAUUCCAGGUGUAGCGGUGAAAUGCGUAGAUAUCGUGAGGAACACCAGAGGCGAAGGCGGUUACCUGGACAGUUACUGACGCUCAGGCACGAAAGCAUGGGGAGCAAAAGGAA
rnacentral:rRNA from 1 species